rnacentral:rRNA from 1 species
CAGCUGUCUGGGUGGAGAUAGAAAGAGGCCUUUUCGAUGGGUUUUUAUAAGCCCCCUUUUUUUUGGGAAAGAGAGAAAUGCCGAGCCCCUGGCCUAAUAACCUGGGUGGGGUUUCCGGUUCCCAAAGAAAUAAAACCCCCGGCGUAUUUUCUUGCCAGCAACCGCGGUUAAUACAAAGGGGGCUAAACGUUAUUUGAAUUUUUGGGGGGUAAAACGGGGUAGGGGGUUUUUAAAUCUGUGUGAAAACUCCCGGGCUCAACCUGGGAACUGCAGUGGAAAAUGGACAACUAGAGUGUGGUAGAGGGUAGCGGAAUUUUCGGUGUAGCAGUGAGAUAUGUAGAGAUCUGGAGGGACAUCCAUGGGGAAGGCAGCUCCCUGGGCCCACAUUGACACUGAGGCACGAAAGCGUGGGGAGCAAACAGGAUUAUUAAUAUAUGGUAAGUUCACGCCCUAAACGAUGUGUUUUGGAUCUUGGGUGCAAUUUGGCAUGCAGUAUGGAAACUAACGGGUUAAGUUUGCCGCCGGGGGAGUAAGGUCACAAGAUUAAUACUCAAAGGAAUUUUCGGGGGGCCGCACAAGGUGUUGAGUAUGCGGUUUAAUUGAAUGGAACGCGAAGAACCUUUCCCGGUCCUGAAAAUUCGAGAACUUUCCAUAUAUGGAGUGGUGCCUUUGGGAACUUGAACACAGGUGCUGCAUGGGUGUAGUCAGCUCGUGUUGUGAGAUGUUGGGUUAAGUCCCCGAACGAGCAGCAACCCUUGUCCUUAGUUGCCAGCAAGUUAUGGUGGGACCUUUAAGGAGACCGCCGGGGACAAACCGGCAGGACGGGGGGAUGACUUCAAGUCAUCAUUGCCCUUGCGGCCGGGGUUACCCACGUACUUCAAUGGGAGGUACACAGGGCUUCACCCCGGCCGAGGUAAGCCUUUCCCAGAUAGCCGUUUCAGUCCCAAUUGGAGUCCCCAAUGCAUCCAUGAAGUUCCCACUCGCUGGUAUCCCACAUUAAAGUCGAUGCGGUGACACCGUUCCCGGGCUUUGACACACCGCCUGUCACACCUUGGCAGUUUGUGCACUAUUUCCGUCCAGCCUAACCUUCGGGAGGGCAAUUGCCUCGGUGGCCUGAUGAACUGGGGUGAAGUCUACACGGCGUAAAG